GAUGAACGCUAGCUACAGGCUUAACACAUGCAAGUCGAGGGGCAGCAUUAUCGAAGCUUGCUUUGAUAGAUGGCGACCGGCGCACGGGUGCGUAACGCGUAUGCAACCUGCCCGCAACACGGAGAUAGCCGACCGAAAGGACGAUUAAACUCCGAUAGUAUCAUUUUGCGGCAUCGCUUAAUGAUUAAAUAUUCAUAGGUUGCGGAUGGGCAUGCGUGGCAUUAGUUAGUUGGCGGGGCAACGGCCCACCAAGACGAUGAUGCCUAUGGGUUCUAAAAGGAAGAUCCCACACAUCGGUACUGAGACACGGACCGAACUCC
rnacentral:rRNA from 1 species